rnacentral:pre_miRNA from 1 species
ACUUGUUUUGUUGGUUGUCAUCUAACCAUCGUUCGAUCUGCCACCUGGUGCAUGGUGGAUGCCUGGGUGCAUGGCGAUUGCGCCAACACGCAGACGGUGAUGAUGGUUAGAUGACCAUCAGCAAACAUGUU